rnacentral:rRNA from 1 species
CACGUAGGGGACGAGCGUUGUCCGGAUUCAUUGGGCGUAAAGCGCGCGUAGGCGGCUCGGCAAGUCGGUCGUGAAAUGCCGGGGCUCAACCCCGGGACUGCGUCCGAUACUUCCGGGCUGGAGGUAGGUAGGGGAGAUCGGAAUUCCUGGUGUAGCGGUGAAAUGCGCAGAUAUCAGGAGGAACACCGGUGGCGAAGGCGGAUCUCUGGGCCGAUACUGACGCUGAGGAGCGAAAGCGUGGGGAGCGAACAGG